GGAGCAAUGCCACGUGAAGGCAGAAGGCCCACGGGUCAUGAACUUAUUUUCUCAGAGAAGAAACAAUGAUGGUAUCUGAGGAAUAAGCAUCGACUAACUCUAUUCCAGCAGCCGUGGUAAGACAGAGGAUGCAAGCGUUAUCCGGAAUGAUUGGGCGUAAAGCGUCUAUAGGUGGAUUUUCAAGUCCGCCGUCAAAUCCCAGGGCUCAACCCUGGACAGGCGGUGGAAACUACCAAUAUGGAGUACGGUAGGGGCAGAGGGAAUUUCCGUUGGAGCGGUGAAAUGCGUUGAGAUCGGAAAGAACACCAACGAUGAAAGCACUCUGCUGGGCCGACACUGACACUGAGAGAUGAAAGCUAGGGGAGCAAAUGGGAUUAGAUACCCUAGUAGUCCUAGCCGUAAAUGAUGGAUACUAAGUGCUGUGUGUAUCGACCCACGUAGUGCUGUAGCUAACGUGUUAAGUAUCCCGCUUGGGGAGUACGUCCGCAAGAAUGAAACCCAAAGUAAUUGAUGGGGGCUCGCACAAGCGGUGGAGCAUGUGGUUCAAUUCGAUGCAAAGUGAAGAACAUUACCAGGGCUUGACAUGCCGUGAAUCCUCCCCAAAGAGAGGAGUGCCUUCGGGAAUGCGGACACAGGUGGUGCAUGGCUGUCGUCAACUCGUGCCGUAAGGUGUUGGGUUAAGUCCCGCAACGAGCGCAACCCUCGUGUUUAGUUUCCAGCAAUGAGUUUGGAACCAUGAACAGACUGCUGGUGAUAAGCCAGAGGAAGGUGAGGAUGAUGUCAAGUCAUCAUGCCCCUUACACCCUGGGUGACACAUGUGCUACAAUGACUGGGACAAAGGGUCGUGACCCCAUGAGGGAAAGCUAACCUCAAAAACCCAUCCUCAGUUCGGAUUGCAGGCUGCAACUCGCCUGCAUGAAGAUGGAAUCGCUAGUAAUCGUCGGUCAGCCAUACGACGGUGAAUCCAUUGCCAGACCUUGUACACACCACCCAUCACACUAUGGGAGUUGUCCAUGCCCCAAUUCAUUACCUUAACCGCAAGGAGGGGGAUGCCAAAGGCUGGUCUAGUGACUGGAGUGAAGUCGUAACAAGGUAGCCGUACUGGAAGGUGCGGCUGGAUCACCUCCUUU
rfam:Picea glauca, whole genome shotgun sequence.